CCUACGGGGGACUGCAGUGGGGAAUAUUGCACAAUGGGGGGAACCCUGAUGCAGCAACGCCGCGUGGGUGAAGAAGUACUUCGGUAUGUAAAGCCCUGUCAGCAGGGAAGAAAAUGACGGUACCUGACCAAGAAGCCCCGGCUAACUACGUUCCAGCAGCCGCGGUAAUACGUAGGGGGCAAGCGUUAUCCGGAUUUCCUGGGUGUAAAGGGAGCGUAGACGGCAAGGCAAGUCUGGAGUGAAAGCCCGUGGCUCAACCACGGGACUGCUUUGGAAACUGUGUUGCUGGAGUGCAGGAGGGGUAAGCGGAAUUCCUAGUGUAGCGGUGAAAUGCGUAGAUAUUAGGAGGAACACCGGUGGCGAAGGCGGCUUACUGGACUGUAACUGACGUUGAGGCUCGAAGGCGUGGGGAGCAAACAGGAUUAGAUACCCGGGUAGUC
rnacentral:rRNA from 1 species